rnacentral:rRNA from 1 species
AGAGUUUGAUCAUGGCUCAGAUUGAACGCUGGCGGAAUGCUUUACACAUGCAAGUCGAACGGCAGCACGGGUGCUUGCACCUGGUGGCGAGUGGCGAACGGGUGAGUAAUGCAUCGGAACGUACCGAGUAAUGGGGGAUAACGCAUCGAAAGGUGUGCUAAUACCGCAUACGCCCUGAGGGGGAAAGUGGGGGAUCGCAAGACCUCACGUUAUUCGAGCGGCCGAUGCCUGAUUAGCUAGUUGGUGAGGUAAAGGCUCACCAAGGCGACGAUCAGUAGCUGGUCUGAGAGGAUGAUCAGCCACACUGGAACUGAGACACGGUCCAGACUCCUACGGGAGGCAGCAGUGGGGAAUUUUGGACAAUGGGCGCAAGCCUGAUCCAGCCAUGCCGCGUGAGUGAAGAAGGCCUUCGGGUUGUAAAGCUCUUUCGGUGGGAACGAAACGGGCACGGCUAAUACCCGUGUUCAAUGACGGUACUCACAGAAGAAGCACCGGCUAACUACGUGCCAGCAGCCGCGGUAAUACGUAGGGUGCGAGCGUUAAUCGGAAUUACUGGGCGUAAAGCGUGCGCAGGCGGAUUGUUAAGCAAGAUGUGAAAUCC